rnacentral:rRNA from 1 species
GACGAACGCUGGCGGCGUGCUUAACACAUGCAAGUCGAACGGAAAGGCCCUGCUUUUGUGGGGUGCUCGAGUGGCGAACGGGUGAGUAACACGUGAGUAACCUGCCCUUGACUUUGGGGUAACUUCAGGAAACUGGGGCUAAUACCGGAUAGGAGCUCCUGCUGCAUGGGGGGGGUUGGAAAGUUUCGACGGUUGGGGAUGGACUCGCGGCUUAUCAGCUUGUUGGUGGGGUAGUGGCUUACCAAGGCUUUGACGGGUAGCCGGCCUGAGAGGGUGACCGGCCACAUUGGGACUGAGAUACGGCCCAGACUCCUACGGGAGGCAGCAGUGGGGAAUAUUGCACAAUGGGCGGAAGCCUGAUGCAGCAACGCCGCGUGCGGGAUGACGGCCUUCGGGUUGUAAACCGCUUUCGCCUGUGACGAAGCGUGAGUGACGGUAAUGGGUAAAGAAGCACCGGCUAACUACGUG